rnacentral:rRNA from 1 species
UGUUAUAUAAAGUCUAGCCUGCCCACUGAUUUGUUUUAAAGGGCCGCGGUAUAUUGACCGUGCGAAGGUAGCAUAAUCAUUAGUCUUUUAAUUGGAGGCUUGUAUGAAUGGUUGGACAAAAAGUAAGCUGUCUCGGUUAUAAUAAUUGAACUUAACUUUUAAGUGAAAAGGCUUAAAUGUUUCAGGGGGACGAUAAGACCCUAUAAAGCUUGACAAUAAUUUCGUUAUAUUAUAAAUUGUUAGUAUAACUUGAUUUUAACGGGAGUUUGUUUCGUUGGGGCGACGGGAAUAUAAUAAAUAACUGUUCUUUUAAAUAUAAUUACAAAAAUACUUGGUAAAUAAUUGAUCCUCUAUUAGAGAUUAAAAGAUUAAGUUACUUUAGGGAUAACAGCGUAAUCUUCUUUGAGAGUCCACAUCGACAAGAAGGUUUGCGACCUCGAUGUUGAAUUAAGGUAUCCUUAUAAUGCAGCAGUUAUAAAGGAGGGUCUGUUCGACCUUUAAAUCCUUACAUGAU